ensembl:lncRNA
AUUUAAUGAUGGUAUUUUCAUGUGAUACAUUAUACAGAUGUUUUAAACUUUCUAUGAAACUCCGUGCAGGUCUGGACUGAGUUGUGAAAGAAAGUAGGCAAAUACAAGGUUUAAAGUUAUCCAUGUUUUGUUGGGUAGACAGCCAUAUAGACCUCAACAGCUAGAGCAUUUGUUGUGACUGAAAAUUACAUCACAAUCUCUUCGGCGUUGACUCUGGGAUUUGAUUUUGUCCAUUAGACCAGCUUUCUCAUUCCUGCAUACUGUAUAGAUUAAACCGCUUUAACAUAGAUGCUUUAGUUGAACAUGUAGAGAUUGUACUUUAGUAAAUAUUUUAGUCCACAUUUCAUUUGUUAAACAAAAAGCACUUACUGUACUGUUUGGAAACGGCUCUUUUCAUACCUGGAAAUUUGGACCGGUUUCCCAGCUCUAAUCGUUGGUGACUUGAGACUUGAUUAUAAGUGUGAAGUAGGGCGGAACACUUUCACUGACUUGGAAACAAUAUUCAUUGUAAUUCUGAAUGUCAGUAUAACAUGUUUCUAUCUGGUUUCACACUGGUGCUUCAUGUGCAAUGCAAUGGCACAGAGCAUACUUCAAGAUCAUCUUCAUCUGUGAAAACACCUACAAUGAGUUUUACAAAACCAGAUAACUAGAAUUCAGAAACAUUAAAUACACACACACACACACACACACACACACACAAAUGUCUUUCUUGUCCCAUUUCCCCUUGAAACCACAUUUUAGUGCCAUUAUAUUUAUUUGCAAGAAGGUUUGCAAGAAAUGCUGCUAUAUAUGUUGCAUUGAUCACAUGAUCCAUUGUCGUUCCAGGUACUGAUUCUAACUUGACUCUCUGCCCAAAGUUUUUUUUGCCAUUCUGUAAAUGAAGAAGUAGUUCGACAAUCUGUGAGCAUAAAUUGCAAGUGGUCCUGGCCAUACUGACCCUAAGACAGUUGCCAUAUCUUUUCAAACGCCAAAGAUUUUCUUUCAUUGAGUUCUGUAUUCCAUUGACUGUUUGACAGCUGUUAGUGUCUGAAGUAUCAUAUUCCACCAGUAACAGUGUUGAGGACUUUUCUGAUGUUUUUGGCUGUGCUAGUCUGCCUUUCGUGUGUUUCGUAUGCCGUACUUCAAACAAUGAAAAAUGGGGGGA